GUUAAAAACAAAUAAUAACAAUUGGUAUCAGAGCCUUAUGUUAAGAUUGGAAUCCCUUGUGAAAAUAAUAUCUUAUAUCACGUGAAAAUUCAUUCUCUAUUCAUAUAGCGUAUCUUAUACAUGUAUUUGAAAUUUGCAUCAUGAUUGUUUCGUGCAUUAGCCAAAUUGCACAACCCAAAUUCAAACUGCACAAUCCAAAUUCACAAUUGCAAAACUCCUUAAAUUGUUAAACCCUAACAAACUCUCUCUCUAUUUCUCUCUACGUACAUAUAUGAACAGACGUAUUGUAACCUGAUUUUAUUUUUGAACACAAUCUUUGAAACCUGAUUGAAUACAAGACCUAACCUUUGCAAAAGAACCAUGUAUCCCUUUCCUGUGGGCACUGUCAAUAACCCAAUUUCACCAAUGUUUUUCUAUCCGAAACCCUUAAUUAGAUUGCCAAAAAAAAAAAAAAAUUAAUUUAGAGCAAUAGUUGUUUCGAAAUCAGCAGAGGCUUGAAUUCAAUCCAUUGGCAGAUUGGGAAUUAAAAUUCUUAGAAUCUUGAGCUUCAAAAUAGAAUCUGUACCCUUCUUUCGGCUAAUUUCAGCUUUGAAUUGAAUUGAUAAUACAUAUAUAGAUUAAUUAAGCAACUUCCCUCAACUGUUGAACCUAAUUCCACAGCAAGUUUAUUGAAAUGCCACGCCAUUGAAUCACGCCUCAUCUCCAUCCACAACCACUCUACAAUCCAAUAAGGGGACUAGGGAAUUUUCAAAAAUUACCUGAUUGUCAUCGUUCCUGGAUCUGAAUUAAUCAUGCAGCCCGAUUGAUUAUCUGCAACGGCGCCACCACAUUCGCCUGGUACUCGAUGGUGGAAUUGAUCCUCCAGCUGCUCAAAGGAGGAAUCGAACCGCCGGCUACUCAAUUGUGGAAUUGGUCCGCCAGCGGCGAUAGUGUGAUGGAGAAGAGACGGGUUUUUUGCCAAAAUUUUGGGGGUUUUAGGGUUUUUAUUAAAGGGGUAGAGAUGUAAAUAAUGAGAUUAAG
rnacentral:lncRNA from 1 species